AGGCUGCUGCUGCCGCCACCAAGAAGCCUGUGUGCGAGCACAGCCUCAGAAGCAGCGGAUUAAAGCUCCACAAUCAACUUGAUGUACCCUGCAUCUGUGGAAUACAUGAAUAGACAGCCAAUCAUCCCAAAUUAAGGAGCUGGUACCUGAGGAGG